UACGGAGGGUGCAAGCGUUAAUCGGAAUUACUGGGCGUAAAGCGGGCGCAGGCGGUUUGUUAAGUCUGAUGUGAAAUCCCCGGGCUCAACCUGGGAAGUGCAUUUAAUACUGGCAAGCUUGAGUUUAGUAGAGGGGGGUAGAAUUCCACGUGUAGCGGUGAAAUGCGUAGAGAUCUGGAGGAAGACCGGUGGCGAAGGCGGCCCCCUGGACGAAAACUGACGCUCAGGUGCGAAAGCGUGGGGAGCAAACAGG
rnacentral:rRNA from 1 species